rnacentral:rRNA from 1 species
GACAGGAGGGGCAAGCGUUGCUCGGAAUUGACUGGGCGUAAAGGGCGCGUGAGGCGGGAGUGGCAAGUCGGUCGUGAAAUCCCUCGGGCUCAACCGGGAACGUCGAUCGAUACUGCUGUUCUUGAGGAUUGCAGAGGAGACUGGAAUUCCCGGUGUAGCGGUAGAAAUGCGCAGAUAUCGGGAGGAACACCGGUGGCGAAGGCGGUUCUCUGGGCCUUACCUGACGCUGAGGAGCGAAAGCGUGGGGAGCGAACAGG